rnacentral:tRNA from 1 species
AGUUGUUGUGGUGUAGUGGUUAUCACGUUUAUUUUACACGCAAAAGGUCUCGUGUUCGAUCCCGGUCAGCAACAU